ACUCACUAGCGACCCAUUUGCUCUACUCUUCCCCGAAACUCUAUGUCUCUAUCCCUCUCAUCCUCUCUCUCUCUACAUCCUGAUCGAAACAAAACACAAAACUCUAGAAAACGAUUCUCUCUCUCACUCUCUCCCCGUCCUAAUCGACCCAAACCACAAAACCCUAGAAAACAAAUAGAUUUCUUUGUGGUCAGCUCGGAGGUGGACUGGACGGAGCUGUGUGGCCAUGCUUCUAGUCGUGGCCGGAGGACGUGCAGCUUAGCGUUGACUCGUCGAAGGAAGGCAAAGAAGAUGGUGGCUCCGGUGAGUCUACCCUGAUGGUCGGAGAUCGGUGACAGAAGAAACAGAGUCCUCCAGAUCCACUUUCUCUCUCCUCCUUCUCUUUCUCGUCUGUGCUUUAGGGUGGUCCAGUACUGUGGUCCUCUUCGGAUUCGUAUAGAGACGAACGUUUCUCUACCUACUAUACACCGACAUCGACUCAUUUAGCGAAAUCAGAUCUCAAAAUCAAUUGUUUCAGACUAUCAAGUAGAGUGUCGAAACUCGAGGCUUUGACGCGAUACUGUGGUAUUUGUCAUCUAAAGAAAUUCCGAAGAAAGAAAAACAAUAGAAGCUCUUGCGUUGUUGGGAUCGAGGGAAGAGAAGAAGAGGUUUUUCAUCGGAGGUGAUGUUUUAUUGAUGUCUGUGGUUUUGUGGUUUUGAAUCGGUGGAUUUUGCUGUGGUUGGGUUUCGAUUGAUCUUGAUUUUUAUGUUUUGUUGAGGUAUUGAUCUUGGUCUUCAGUGGGUGAUUUUUGUUGAGGUUUGGAUGUUCGGUUUUUAUGGAUGUUUGGGUGUUUUCUUUGUGUUUGACUGGUGGUGAUCGUUUUGUUCUUUGUGCAAGUUUUAUGCAAAGGAGUAUUUGGGUUGUUCUUUUGCCGGUGUUCCUGGUUUGGUUAGUUGGUGUUACUUGGUUGUGCUGCUGUGAAUAUGGUAUGUAUCGAUAGCAGGGUCUUAGUUUUUGUUAUACUCUCUCUCACUCUCAGAGAUAUACUGAUUUGAUAAUGAGGUUUUUGUACUGGUGUUAAUCUCACUGCCACCCCCUUAUCAUAUCCAUCACAAUCUCUCUCUGUUUUGAGUAUGCGUGAGAAAGUGUGCAAGUAGUCCUCUGUCUGUGAAGAAAUUGAAAGACUAGUGGGAAUAGAAAGUAGUUUCUGUGGGAGAAGAAGAGCCUCUUUGAGAGUGAGAGAGAGAGAGAGAGAGAGAGAGAGAGAGAGAGAUUUUCAUAUAUUGUUGUUGUUCACCAUGAAUUGAUAAAGCUGCGGCCUAUCCCUCAUGUCAGCACAGUACAAGUAAUCAAUAAUUGAAUGAAACCAAUUUAAUACCCACAUACCAAACUAUCUUUCAUUUUUUGUUUUCCCUUUUCUCUAUCUUUCAUUGAAUCCCUUUUCAUGUCAGCACUAUGCAGAUACAUUACUAGCUAGAUAGGUUAACUACCAGAACAUCAUUAAUUAGUUACUUAGAAAUAUGACUUGAAAAUAAAGAAGAUUAAUAUACUGUUUUAGCUAGUAAGUUAUACAAGCAAUGCAGCUGUCUAUGCUUUCUUUCCUCUAUUGUCGUUUGGCUCUUGAUGCAGGAUGAGGACUUGUUCACAAUUUUCUCACGCUUUGGAACUGUGCAAGUGGCUGACAUAAUACGUGAUUAUAAGACUAUAGACAGUUUGUGUUAUGCGUUCAUAGAAUUUGAAACGAAAGAGGCCUAUGAACAAGCAUAUUUCAAGAUGGAUAAUGCGUUGAUUGAUGAUCGACCGAAGAAUUCAUGUAGAGUUUAGUCAGAGUGUUGCAAGGUUGUGGUCCCAAUACAGGCGCAAAGAAGGCCUAUGCUUUGUGUUUUCAAAAAAGGCUCAGUUUUUAACACCACC